rnacentral:rRNA from 1 species
UGCCACUAGAAUUAAAUUAGUGGUACAUCCUGCCCAGUGAAACAUUAAACGGCCGCGGUAUCCUGACCGUGCAAAGGUAGCAUAAUCACUUGCCUAUUAAUUGUAGGCUAGAAUGAAGGGACAAACGAGAAUAAAGCUGUCUCCUUUAGGCCCUUAAAACUUUAUAUCUGAGUGAAGAAGCUCAGAUACUUACGCAGGACAAGAAGACCCUAUAGAGCUUUACUUUACACUUUUAUACAAAUAACGCUAUAGUUCGGUUGGGGCGACCAGGGAAAUAUAUAUCAUCCCUAGAACACAAGAUCUUCCAAUCUUAAAAAUGAUCCUUUCUUAAGAUCAAUGGAUUAAGCUACCUUAGGGAUAACAGGCUAAUCCUCUUUUAGAGCCCUUAUCGACAAGAGGGAUUGGCACCUCGAUGUUGGCUUAGGAUCUCUCCAUGACGCAGCAGUCAUGCCUAGAUGGUUUGUUCAACCAUUAAUAUCCU